GAAAAUCAUAACAAUCUUUUGUUUUUUUGGUGUUAUUGCAAAUAAUUCAUUUUGCAAACCCCGCUUCGUGGUAAAAACAAACAAGGUGGAUAUAAAGGCCUAUCUUUACUUCUCAGGGAGCAGUCAUUGUCCAGAGAAUUUUUCAUUUCAAAUUUUAGCCUUAGCUAAUUGAUAUUUUUUAAUAAAUUAAAUGUUACAAAUAAUGUAAUGCAGAGAUUUUCAUUGCCAAUUAUAUAUGAUUUUACCAAUAUGAAAUACUGGGAAUUUCAGAUAUUCUGAUGUCAAGAACUUUCAAUCACAUUCAAAAAUAAAGGGAACAGAUUUGUUGGUAAAGAAACACUUGAUAUAUGAUCAAUCAAAGAGAAGUUUGUACUUUAUUAUAUGUCUUUUUCUUUGGAAAUUGUAAUGUGAUUGACAUCCAUUGUCAAGUAUAACAAAAUCAUAGACAAUGUGUGAAGUAUGGAGUGUUAAGAUAUAUUUGCAUGAAAAUGCUUUAAUAGGCAUAAUUUAUUCUAUAGUUAUACGAAAAACCCAAAAUUAAGAGUACCGAUAUGGGCUUGUGUUCGAAAUCAUACGAUUUAGUAUUAAAAGCAAUACAUAUUUCUCUCAAUUAUGCAUCUCUGUAUUGAUGUUAGAACCUUUUGAGUGACUGUAAGAAUGUCCGAGCUUGUCUAUUUAUAAAUGAUCCAAUUUUAGCAUGUCAUUAGUAUAAAUUGAGGAACCUGUGCUUGAUUGACCAAUAAACUGGACUUUUUGUUUGACAUGAUGGGAAAUAUUAUAACCCGAUUCCAUCCAAAAUCAACAGGGGAACAUUUCUCCUAUGAAUUACUUAUAAGAACACAUGAUAUUUUGCUGGCUUCAGUAUGAUGUACUAGCCUAAGGCAAAGCGUACAGAGAGGCCGGCAAUUUUAUAUUUUUAAUUGUAUUGAUUAUAUGAAUAUAUAUAUAUAUAUUGUAUUGUGUAGUCUUGGUUCAAUAAAUUCAAUAAUC
rnacentral:sRNA from 1 species